rnacentral:lncRNA from 1 species
UUUUGAAUGAUCUCCAAAAUAUUUAGCUUGUUAAUCACCAGUGCAUCAAACACUGCAUUCAAACCCAGUACUGUAAUUCCUUGCUCUUUGCACAGCAUGGCUAUUGCACCUAGGAGAACACUCACCAGCACCCAGAAUACAGAAAAAUUAUGUCCUUCCUUAUUUUCUCUAAACGCUUUACAGUAGCCGAGGAAUGACAACAAAAAGAACAGGGCACAUAGGAGAUCUGCUCUGCCAACAAUCCCUGCAACACAUUCAGUGUGCACUGGAUGUACAGCAAACAGCAAAGCAGCUAGAAGAGAUGUCUUUGGAGCCAGGUUUAGUCUUCUUCCUUUAUUAGUGAAUUGUAAUCCACCCAGUAAUAUUGAG